GGGAGGGGGCAAAGGCCUUUUUAUCAGCGGCCCCCGGGUCACACAAGCCAGGGAUUUCCUCCUGUGGUUUAGCCCACAAAGAAAUCUGCUUCCACGGCUGUUGGGCUCUCCCACUUUUCAGCCCCAUCCAGGGGCAGGACCGGCUCCUAGCAGCCAACAGAAACCCAUGGAGUCCUGGAGUUGAACGUGGUUCCUGAGACCAUCCAGCUCAACCCCCAGCCCAGGGGUUUCAAUGACAUAAUGCACCACCACACUGUAUCCUGUGCUCUGGAGACAACGGCAUCGAUGACACACGAUGUGUAUCCACAAUUCCCACUGAAAAUCCGAGGCAAGUUUGUCUUUCUGGGGUUGCAAAAUUUCCUUGGCAAUUUGCCACAUGUGAAAUUCUAGAUUGCCUCAUACCUUCCAAAGACCAAGGAAGGGGCUGCAUGAGGUCAUGUCCAACCUCAGCUGACAUUGAUUGAUUUCAAAUGCUGUUAACAAAUUUGAGGAUUUUAAGCCCAAACAGAAAAAGAAUAGAAAAAUAGGAUGAGGUCAGGCCGGAUCUGAACAUCAACAGCAGGGCAGAGAACAAAGAAUCUUCCUUAAAGACUCCCUGAGGUGCUCCCUCAUCCUUACCUGUCCACCUAUCUGUCUGUCCGUCCACAUUCUUUGUAUUAAACUCACUUUAAGAUCAAAUGUAA